GAGUGAGCGGGAAGAGCUCAAAUUUGAAAUCUGGUAGCCUUCGGUUGCCCGAGUUGUAAUCUAGAGAAGUGUUUUCCGUGCCGGCCCAUGUACAAGUCCCUUGGAACAGGGCGUCAUAGAGGGUGAGAAUCCCGUCCUUGACAUGGACCCCCGGUGCUUUGUGAUACACUUUCAACGAGUCGAGUUGUUUGGGAAUGCAGCUCAAAAUGGGUGGUGAAUUCCAUCUAAAGCUAAAUAUUGGCGAGAGACCGAUAGCGAACAAGUACCGUGAGGGAAAGAUGAAAAGCACUUUGGAAAGAGAGUUAAACAGUACGUGAAAUUGUUGAAAGGGAAACGAUUGAAGUCAGUCAUGCUCUUGGGACUUACCUCCCUUGAGUGGGGUCAACAUCAGUUUUGAUCGAUGGAUAAAGGCACGGGGAAGGUAGCACUCUCGGGUGAACUUAUAGCCUCGCGUCAUAUACAUUGAUUGGGACUGAGGAACGCAGCAUGCCUUAUGGCCGGGAUUCGUCCACGUACAUGCUUAGGAUGUUGACAUAAUGGCUUUAAACGACCCGUCUUGA
rnacentral:rRNA from 1 species